rnacentral:rRNA from 1 species
CCUACGGGUGACAGCAGUAGGGAAUCUUUCACAAUGGGCGAAAGCCUGAUGGAGCAACGCCGCGUGCAGGAUGAAGGCCUUCGGGUUGUAAACUGCUUUUAUAAGCGAGAAAUAUGAUGGUAACUUAUGAAUAAGGAUCGGCUAACUACGUGCCAGCAGCCGCGGUCAUACGUAGGAUCCGAGCAUUAUCCGGAGUGACUGGGUGUAAAGAGUUGCGUAGGUGGCAUAAUAAGUAGCUAGUGAAAUCUGGUGGCUCAACCAUUCAGACUAUUAGCUAAACUGUUAAGCUCGAGACCGUUAGGGGUAACUGGAAUGUCUAGUGUAGGAGUGAAAUCCGUAGAUAUUAGAAGGAACACCAAUAGCGUAGGCAGGUUGCUGGGACGGUUCUGACACUAAGGCACGAAAGCGUAGGGAGCAAACGGGAUUAGAUACCCCAGUAGUC